AGAGCCUACGAUACCUACUACUCCAUCCUCACCUGUAACUAAGACCACAGAAACCCCAACAACGAGAAGUACCAGGAAAACAACACCAACCACAUCUGUCUCUACAACCUCCAAAACCACUGCGUCAACAGAAUCCAGCCCAACCUCCUCAGCCAAAACAAGUCGAAGAAGCACAACUCUGACAAGGGCCACAUCUUCCACCAAGUCUCCUGAAACCAGUACAACCGCCAUACCAAUGACACCCACAACCCUCACUCUCACCACGACUCCAUUCUCCACUAGCUCACCAGAGAGCACAACAUCAAAGUCAACCCCGACCACUUCCACUACCUCUACCACGCCCACCACAACCACCACACCAACUACACUCACAACCGUCACUCUGACGACGACAGCCCCGACCAGUACUUCUCCGGAGACCACCACAUCUGAGUCCACCACCGCAAGCACCGUAAAAAUAACUACGCUGACGACAGUUUCUCCAUCUACUACGUCAACUAAGUCCACAACGCGAUCAACACCAACAGUAACUAAGACCGCAGAAACCCCAACAACGAGAAGUACCAGGAAAACAACACCAACCACAUCUGUCUCUACAACCUCCAAAACCACUGCGUCAACAGAAUCCAGCCCAACCUCCUCAGCCAAAACAAGUCGAAGAAUCACAACUCUGACAAGGACUACAUCUUCCACCAAGUCUACUGAAACCAGUACAACCGCCAUACCAACUACACCCACAACCCUCACUCUCACUACGACUCCCUUCUCCACUAGCUCACCAGAGACCACAACAUCAAAGUCAACCCCUACCACUUCCACUACCUUUACCACGCCCACCACAACCACUACACCAACUAUACUCACAACCGUCACUCUGACGACGACGGCCCCGACCAGUACUUCUCCGGAGACUACCCCAUCUGAGUCCACCACCUCAAGCACUGUAAAAAUAACUACGCUGAUGACAGUUUCUCCAACUACUGUGUCAACUAAGUCCACAAUGCGACCAACACCAACAGGUAAACAAACCUCCACCAUAGGAGAUUGAAANACAGCCAACCCCUCAUCCCCUGCCUUGCCUCCAGUCA
rnacentral:lncRNA from 1 species